UGGGGAAUUUUGGACAAUGGGCGAAAGCCUGAUCCAGCUAUGCCGCGUGAGUGAAGAAGGCCUUCGGGUUGUAAAGCUCUUUCGGUCGGGAAGAAGUUUGCUGCGUGAAUAGCGUGGUAGAUUGACGGUACCGGCAUAAGAAGCACCGGCUAACUACGUGCCAGCAGCCGCGGUAAUACGUAGGGUGCGAGCGUUAAUCGGAAUUACUGGGCGUAAAGGGUGCGCAGGCGGCCUGAUAAGUCAGAUGUGAAAUCCCCGGGCUUAACCUGGGAACUGCGUUUGAAACUAUCGGGCUAGAGUACAGCAGAGGGGGGUGGAAUUCUAUGUGUAGCAGUGAAAUGCGUAGAUAUAUGGAAGAACAUCGAUGGCGAAGGCAGCCCCCUGGGUUGAUACUGACGCUCAUGCACGAAAGCGUGGGGAGCAAACAGG
rnacentral:rRNA from 1 species